UACAGAGGGGGCAAGCGUUGUUCGGAAUUACUGGGCGUAAAGGGCGCGUAGGCGGCCUUCUAAGUCGAACGUGAAAUCCCCGGGCUCAACCCGGGAACUGCGUCUGAUACUGGAAGGCUUGAAUCCGGGAGAGGGAUGUGGAAUUCCAGGUGUAGCGGUGAAAUGCGUAGAUAUCUGGAGGAACACCGGUGGCGAAGGCGGCAUCCUGGACCGGCAUUGACGCUGAGGCGCGAAAGCCAGGGGAGCAAACGGG
rnacentral:rRNA from 1 species